CCUACGGGAGGCAGCAGUGGGGGAUAUUGCACAAUGGGGGAAACCCUGAUGCAGCGACGCCGCGUGUGGGAAGACGGUCCUAUGGAUUGUAAACCACUGUCCCCAGGGACGAAAAUGACGGUACCUGGGGAUGAAGCUCCGGCUAACUAAGUGCGAGCAGCCGCGGUAAUGCGUAGGGAGCGAGCGUUGUCCGGAAUUACUGGGUGUAAGGGGAGCGUAGGCGGGGAUGCAAGUUGGGUGUCAAAACUACCGGCUAAACUGGUAGUCGCACUCAAAACUGCAGCUCUUGAGUGAAGUAGAGGCAGGCGGAAUUCCUAGUGUAGCGGUGAAAUGCGUAGAUAUUAGGAGGAACACCAGUGGCGAAGGCGGCCUGCUGAGCUUUUACUGACGCUGAGGCUCGAAAGUGUGGGUAGCAAACAGGAUUAGAUACCCCUGUAGUC
rnacentral:rRNA from 1 species